UAUCAGACUUGUUGCGGGGUUGUUCCAACAAGUCCGAUACAGUCAUGAUACAACAACAUUAUUACAACCUUGUGUCAUCAAUCUUGAAACAUUCUUGUUAUAUCAUGACUGUAUCAAACUUGUUAGAACAACCUUGUAACAAGUCUGAUA